GUCCACGCCGUAAACGAUGGAUACUAGGCGUAUGAGACAUCGACCUCUUAUGUGCCGCAGCUAACGCAUUAAGUAUCCCGCCUGGGGAGUACGGCCGCAAGGCUAAAACUCAAAGGAAUUGACGGGGAUCCACACAAGCGGUGGAGCAUGUGGUUUAAUUCGACGAUAAACGAGGAACCUUACCAAGGCUUGACAUCUCUGGAACCCUCUGGAAACAGGGGGUGCCUUUACCGGAACCAGAUGACAGGUGCUGCAUGGUUGUCGU
rnacentral:rRNA from 1 species